ACUCAAAUGAAUAGACGGGGACCCGCACAAGCGGUGGAGCAUGUGGUUUAAUUCGAAGCAACGCGAAGAACCUUACCAAGUCUUGACAUCCCUCUGACCGGACAGUAAUGUGUCCUUCCCUUCGGGGCAGAGGAGACAGGUGGUGCAUGGUUGUCGUCAGCUCGUGUCGUGAGAUGUUGGGUUAAGUCCCGCAACGAGCGCAACCCUUAUCCUUAGUAGCCAGCAGGUAGAGCUGGGCACUCUAGGGAGACUGCCGGGGAUAACCUGGAGGAAGGUGGGGAUGACGUCAAAUCAUCAUGCCCCUUAUGAUUUGGGCUACACACGUGCUACAAUGGCGUAAACAAAGAGAAGCGACAGGGUGACCUUAAGCCAAUCUCAAAAAUAACGUCCCAGUUCGGAUUGUAGUCUGCAACUCGACUACAUGAAGCUGGAAUCGCUAGUAAUCGCGAAUCAGAAUGUCGCGGUGAAUACGUUCCCGGGUCUUGUACACACCGCCCGU
rnacentral:rRNA from 1 species